UCUCCACCUUACACGGUGUACGAUCCAUUAGGUUCCUUUUAGCGAGGCAGUUGGCGAUUAAAACCAUUUCAAAUCGAUUGUGAAUUUAAAACUUACUUUCAAUUCUCCCUUUAGUGAUUAUACACGUUUAGGGCUUCUACAAACCAUGAGUGACACCUAGCAGCAUAUCAUGGUUACUCAAGCUAAUCAGAAGAGGUGGAGAACCUAUUCAGUUUUGGACUACAAAUGCAAUACGGUCUUUCUCCAAUACAAUACUCUUGACCACAUUGUUUGGUUUGAUAGUUUAUUUAUUCAUGUCUACUAUCCAA
rnacentral:lncRNA from 1 species